AGUGGGGAUGAAAAAAACGAAGGCGAGGCUCAUGCGGCUGGUUGUUGCUAGGGAUAGCAGGUAUUAGAGAAGUUUCUUUCUGGUUAGAAGUGUGCAUAUUGGGUUUACUUGCUUUCCGUGAGCAACCAUCUGAAUGCUGAAAUGUCAUAAAUGGUUGUGAACAGAUCAGAUAUGAUUCGUACAUCAGGUAAAUAGCAUGUACCUCUUUUGAUUUCACAUGUGCAGAGACCACUUGCCAUAUGAUGUUCGUCACUGCGUGUAUUCAAUCCCUUAUUCCUAUAAAACACCCCCAGCUUAUCAAUCUUGCUGCAAAGAUUUGGUUUGAAGGGCCUGCUUGUGAUUAUAUUGUUGUACCUGCAGUGUUGCCACUUAUACCAUCAAUACGGAGCUGAAGCUACACAUGAAGCACUGUGAUCUAGGAAGACAUCAAAAGUACAUAAUAUCUCACUUUAUCGUGCACCUUAUCUACUGCACAUGCACUUAACAUUCUUUCACUUAUAUUGCAUAUUCACAAGGAAAUUUGUUAGUCUUUUAGUGUUUUGAUCAAUUAUUAAAAGCAUUAUAUAUACCCAACAUCCAUGAAAGAAUUAAGUUAGUGGUUUUUUUGCGUGGAGACUACACUUCUUCCGUACCGCUUCUGCGGGUUCUGGAUGACAGUGACGUCGUCUCCCCUAUCAUUUAAAUGUAGUAUGUGAUUUUCUUUAACCACUGAUUCUCCGGACUAUCUUUCUGAGAGGCUUCUUAUCAGUGAGUUUCAACUUCCAUCGGGAGCAUUGUCGCUAAGCUGAAAAGUUCUUAGCAUGAGGACUCAUAGCGAUGCUAUAUGGUCAUUCUCCAUAGAUAGCUAUUUGGUCUAUAUGGUCAUUCUCAAUAGAUGUCUAUUUGCACCUGACUGCGGCACCAAUGGCAAGAUAUCUGGCGACGGAGAAGAAACAUGGCAGUGGGGGUGAUGACAGCAAAGGUAAGCUGAGGCGUCACGGCCUCUUACGGCGGUAAGUGAGGUCCAGUAUAGAACUGUAGAUGCUUUUGGAGUGUGGUUUCCAUGUAUGGGGCCAACCGCCUCUUAAUGCAAUUUGUUAUUGCAUGCCUAAUAUUCAGGCGACGUCUGCAACUUUUCCUAAUAUUCAUGCUUAUGUGUAGUUUAUGGCAUUGCAGACCUAAUCUGUUCACAUGAACAAAUUUAUUUGGUCAGGACCAAGAAAUUAGUGAUGAACAUAUUGCAGUUUAAUGGAUGCGUGGUGACUAUUUGUGGGCAUGGGUACAUUACAAGUAAUUAUAGAUGGGAGAGAGAUAGCAAUGAGCACACUAGCUUUUAUUCUCAAAAUCUGUUGCAUUAAUAAUUUCAGAGUUUACUUUGCAAUGUUGCCAAAAAAGUAGCAUGCAAUCUUUUCUGCUUCUAAAUGAAUUCUUCAAAAUAGACAGGAGAGAACUUUUAGCUUAGCUCCUAGAUUACACAUUUGCAUGCAUUUCCUUUUUUUUAAAGAUCCAACAAGUUGUUAUGGGCAACUGGUUGAGUUGACUACGUGUUUCUUUUUUGUUAAUGAAAAAUACAGUAUUAUUUAGGUUCUGCAUGCAAAUAAACUUCGAAAGGGGUUGUAUAGGCCUUCAACUUCUACUUUCGUGAAAACUCGAACUUCAUUUCCCUAAGAUCAUUGCUAUACAACUAUGCAUGGUGGAAUUAAUUGUGUAAUAAAAAUGUUUUGAAACCAUCUGUGUCAUACAGGGUGAGAUGAAGCUUAGUUCCUUCAUAAAUUAACGAAAUGGUUGUUUUAUGGUAGUAGAAAUUGAUGAUUGUUGCAUGAUUUGUGUUUGUUAUUCCAUUCUGCAUGAUGGACUAUUUUCUUGUUGUUGUAUAUAGGCUAGGGACGCAGACUUCAUAGUGUGGCGGAGGACCAAUGAUAUCACGUGGACGGCUGUAGCAACACAUAAAGUUAACUUCACAUUCCUCGUUGACGACAAUUUUCUUUUUUAUUCUAGGGUUUAGCUUGAUGUCCCAAAUUGUUUACUAGCAGUACUCACAAAUACUCCUAUGGCACGUGAUAUUGCAUGUUUUGGCGGUAAAUGCAACUUGCCUUCAGUUUUUUUCCUUUCAUUUGUAUAUUUUGUGUAAGCCUGUAACAGAAGUUUAAUAAAGAGUUUGGAAAUGUUGGUGGCAAAAGCUGUUUUCAGUAGAAAAUGGUUUUGAUAAGAGUAUUUUUUAUAUAGAUCUCCAAUUCAGUAGAAAAUAUGUUUCCAUUUAUUGAUUUCUAUUGUGCUUGUGUUAAAAAAUAUUUGUACUGCGCUUAGCUGAAGUUCAAGUUUCGGCAAUGCUAAUUGAUCUCUUAAUUUUGUACAGUUUUGUUGUCAAGGUGGUA
rnacentral:lncRNA from 1 species